CCUACAUGUCGGUUUGUAGAUAGGAGGGUUUACUAUAAGAGUUGAGCAGCGGCCAUGGGUUUCAGUCCGGCCUGCAGAACCCCUCGCUGUGUGUCAUCCCCUUUCUAUCCCACUUUCCUGUCUGUCUUGAGCUGUCAAAUAAAGCCAAAAAAAUAUAUAUAUGAAAAACUGGUCCAACUUCACAUAACCUUCACACACUGACUCAUGCAGUAUUUUCCACAUCUGCAGGGGGAGACAAACACUGUUAAUACAGCAUAGGUUGCGAUAUAUAUAUCGGACACCUCCCCUGUUUCACAUAGUGUAAUAGUCAUGUGCUCUUGAUCUGAAAGGGGCUGAAAGGGAAGCCAACAGUAGAGUCUCACAGUUUUUAUUCUUUAUUCUUCAUGAUGUUACAGGUUUUUCUAUUUUGUUUCCUUCGUCUGCCGGGGAAUGAGGGUGCCUCUCUCUCCGACAGCGUCUUCCAAACGCCUCCUUUCAUCAUUAAGAGAGUUGGUGAAUCUGUUGUCAGUGGGAUCAAAUGUUCACACACCAUAACAAGUUAUGACCUAAUUCUCUGGUACAAACAAGAUGAAAGCAAAACUCUGCAGUUACUGGGAUAUCUGAAUCUCAACUUCCCAUACCCUGAGGACGACGUGAAAGGAAAAAUCAGCUUUGAUGGAAA